rnacentral:rRNA from 1 species
UACGUAGGAGGCAAGCGUUGUCCGGAAUUACUGGGUGUAAAGCGCGUGUAGGUGGGAGGCCAAGUCUGUGGUGAAAGCGCCCGGCUCAACUGGGCAGAGUCCAUGGAAACUGGUCACCUGGAGGACGGUAGAGGCGAGUGGAACUCCCGGUGUAGUGGUGAAAUGCGUAGAGAUCGGGAGGAACACCAGUGGCGAAGGCGGCUCGCUGGGCCGGUCCUGACACUGAGACGCGAAGGCGUGGGGAGCGAACGGG